rnacentral:lncRNA from 1 species
CUCUUGGGAUGAGGCCUUGUUAUACCCAUCUUUGUACUGCAUAGUACUUGAUUGGCACUGGGCCUGUCCCAGUAAACACUCCAUACAGCCUUGUAAUUCAAGGAAAUGAAAUUGAAUGAGUUGACAUGCCAGGGAAAAAAUCCAAACACUUAUUUUUUGGGUCCAGAAUUGAUUGCUCCCAACAACAUCACCUGGAGAGGAUUUUGGUCACACUCACUGGUAACUGAUUUUCUGUUUGCUUUGUUUAGCAAAUUCCUUCACAGAGAGACUGAAAGGGAGCCUGGGAAGGCAGGGGAAGGGUGUGGGAAGAUGCUGGAAUCUGAGAAGGCGCUCAGAUUGUUGGUUGAACAUACUGCUGUCUGUGUGGAAAAUGUUCACAGCAGUUACAACUUUGGAUGAAUAUGCAUUAGCGGCGGUGCUGCAAUUGGCCCAUUGCGCCACGCUACACUUAGAGACUUGGCAAGAUGGGUGCAGCCUCGUGACAGUUGUCUGGAGAAGUUUCUUGGAAAUUUAUGAGACUUUCAAAACACAAACUGCUCGGAGCCGAGCCGACCUGCUGGAGACUGGGAGAAUCAGAGGCAGGUCUGACCUGGAGCCCAACAACAUGACGACCCCGGUCCUUGCACAUGGAGUGGCUCCUGCCAGUGGGGCUCACCAGCAGCACUGACCUUCCAGGUUGCCCCCAGGUUAGCAGGAGCAGGUUGCUCCAAAAGAUAAAUGUCCCUCUCAGGCUGGGGAUUUAGCUCAGUGGUUCCGCCACCUGCCUCGCAAGUGGAAGGUCCGGAGUUCGAUCCCCAGUACCAAAAAAAAAAAGAAAAGUGUUCCUCUCCUCCUGGGAAGAAGGGAGGUCAGAGACCAUAAUUAGAAUAACAAUGCAUGCUCCUUUCUUCCUUGUUUCCUUCUACAGUUCUGUAUUUGAGCAGACCCCUCCCCAAAGCCCUAUCAAGCUAUCUGUAAAGAAAUUGAUUAAACAGUUUAAGAGCUGGC